ACACUCCUGCGGGAGGCAGCAGUGGGGAAUUUUGGACAAUGGGCGAAAGCCUGAUCCAGCAAUGCCGCGUGAGUGAAGAAGGCCUUCGGGUUGUAAAGCUCUUUUGUCAGGGAAGAAACGGUGAGAGCUAAUAUCUUUUGCUAAUGACGGUACCUGAAGAAUAAGCACCGGCUAACUACGUGCCAGCAGCCGCGGUAAUACGUAGGGUGCAAGCGUUAAUCGGAAUUACUGGGCGUAAAGCGUGCGCAGGCGGUUUUGUAAGUCUGAUGUGAAAUCCCCGGGCUCAACCUGGGAAUUGCAUUGGAGACUGCAAGGCUAGAAUCUGGCAGAGGGGGGUAGAAUUCCACGUGUAGCAGUGAAAUGCGUAGGUAUGUGGAGGAACACCGAUGGCGAAGGCAGCCCCCUGGGUCAAGAUUGACGCUCAUGCACGAAAGCGUGGGGAGCAAACAGGAUUAGAAACCCGUGUAGUCCCAUGA
rnacentral:rRNA from 1 species